rnacentral:rRNA from 1 species
GACGAACGCUGGCGGCGUGCCUAAUACAUGCAAGUCGAGCGGACCACUUCGGUGGUCAGCGGCGGACGGGUGAGUAACACGUGGGCAACCUGCCUGUAAGACUGGGAUAACACCGGGAAACCGGUGCUAAUACCGGAUAAUCCUUUCCCUCACAUGAAGGAAAGCUGAAAGACGGUUUCGGCUGUCACUUACAGAUGGGCCCGCGGCGCAUUAGCUAGUUGGUGAGGUAACGGCUCACCAAGGCAACGAUGCGUAGCCGACCUGAGAGGGUGGUCGGCCACACUGGGACUGAGACACGGCCCAGACUCCUACGGGAGGCAGCAGUAGGGAAUCUUCCGCAAUGGACGAAAGUCUGACGGAGCAACGCCGCGUGAGCGAUGAAGGCCUUCGGGUCGUAAAGCUCUGUUGUCAGGGAAGAACAAGUACCGGAGUAACUGCCGGUACCUUGACGGUACCUGACCAGAGAGCCACGGCUAACUACGUGCCAGCAGCCGCAGUAAGAC